UUAAGCGACUAAGCGUACACGGUGGAUGCCCUGGCAGUCAGAGGCGAUGAAGGACGUGCUAAUCUGCGAUAAGCGUCGGUAAGGUGAUAUGAACCGUUAUAACCGGCGAUUUCCGAAUGGGGAAACCCAGUGUGAUUCGUCACACUAUCAUUAACUGAAUCCAUAGGUUAAUGAGGCGAACCGGGGGAACUGAAACAUCUAAGUACCCCGAGGAAAAGAAAUCAACCGAGAUUCCCCCAGUAGCGGCGAGCGAACGGGGAGGAGCCCAGAGCCUGAAUCAGUGUGUGUGUUAGUGGAAGCGUCUGGAAAGGCGCGCGAUACAGGGUGACAGCCCCGUACACAAAAAUGCACAUGCUGUGAGCUCGAUGAGUAGGGCGGGACACGUGGUAUCCUGUCUGAAUAUGGGGGGACCAUCCUCCAAGGCUAAAUACUCCUGACUGACCGAUAGUGAACCAGUACCGUGAGGGAAAGGCGAAAAGAACCCCGGCGAGGGGAGUGAAAAAGAACCUGAAACCGUGUACGUACAAGCAGUGGGAGCACAGAGCAAUCUGUGUGACUGCGUACCUUUUGUAUAAUGGGUCAGCGACUUAUAUUCUGUAGCAAGGUUAACCGAAUAGGGGAGCCGAAGGGAAACCGAGUCUUAACUGGGCGUUAAGUUGCAGGGUAUAGACCCGAAACCCGGUGAUCUAGCCAUGGGCAGGUUGAAGGUUGGGUAACACUAACUGGAGGACCGAACCGACUAAUGUUGAAAAAUUAGCGGAUGACUUGUGGCUGGGGGUGAAAGGCCAAUCAAACCGGGAGAUAGCUGGUUCUCCCCGAAAGCUAUUUAGGUAGCGCCUCGUGAAUUCAUCUCCGGGGGUAGAGCACUGUUUCGGCAAGGGGGUCAUCCCGACUUACCAACCCGAUGCAAACUGCGAAUACCGGAGAAUGUUAUCACGGGAGACACACGGCGGGUGCUAACGUCCGUCGUGAAGAGGGAAACAACCCAGACCGCCAGCUAAGGUCCCAAAGUCAUGGUUAAGUGGGAAACGAUGUGGGAAGGCCCAGACAGCCAGGAUGUUGGCUUAGAAGCAGCCAUCAUUUAAAGAAAGCGUAAUAGCUCACUGGUCGAGUCGGCCUGCGCGGAAGAUGUAACGGGGCUAAACCAUGCACCGAAGCUGCGGCAGCGACGCUGAUGCGUUGUUGGGUAGGGGAGCGUUCUGUAAGCCUGCGAAGGUGUGCUGUGAGGCAUGCUGGAGGUAUCAGAAGUGCGAAUGCUGACAUAAGUAACGAUAAAGCGGGUGAAAAGCCCGCUCGCCGGAAGACCAAGGGUUCCUGUCCAACGUUAAUCGGGGCAGGGUGAGUCGACCCCUAAGGCGAGGCCGAAAGGCGUAGUCGAUGGGAAACAGGUUAAUAUUCCUGUACUUGGUGUUACUGCGAAGGGGGGACGGAGAAGGCUAUGUUGGCCGGGCGACGGUUGUCCCGGUUUAAGCGUGUAGGCUGGUUUUCCAGGAAAAUCCGGAAAAUCAAGGCUGAGGCGUGAUGACGAGGCACUACGGUGCUGAAGCAACAAAUGCCCUGCUUCCAGGAAAAGCCUCUAAGCAUCAGGUAACAUCAAAUCGUACCCCAAACCGACACAGGUGGUCAGGUAGAGAAUACCAAGGCGCUUGAGAGAACUCGGGUGAAGGAACUAGGCAAAAUGGUGCCGUAACUUCGGGAGAAGGCACGCUGAUAUGUAGGUGAAGUCCCUCGCGGAUGGAGCUGAAAUCAGUCGAAGAUACCAGCUGGCUGCAACUGUUUAUUAAAAACACAGCACUGUGCAAACACGAAAGUGGACGUAUACGGUGUGACGCCUGCCCGGUGCCGGAAGGUUAAUUGAUGGGGUUAGCGCAAGCGAAGCUCUUGAUCGAAGCCCCGGUAAACGGCGGCCGUAACUAUAACGGUCCUAAGGUAGCGAAAUUCCUUGUCGGGUAAGUUCCGACCUGCACGAAUGGCGUAAUGAUGGCCAGGCUGUCUCCACCCGAGACUCAGUGAAAUUGAACUCGCUGUGAAGAUGCAGUGUACCCGCGGCAAGACGGAAAGACCCCGUGAACCUUUACUAUAGCUUGACACUGAACAUUGAGCCUUGAUGUGUAGGAUAGGUGGGAGGCUUUGAAGUGUGGACGCCAGUCUGCAUGGAGCCGACCUUGAAAUACCACCCUUUAAUGUUUGAUGUUCUAACGUGGACCCGUAAUCCGGGUUGCGGACAGUGUCUGGUGGGUAGUUUGACUGGGGCGGUCUCCUCCUAAAGAGUAACGGAGGAGCACGAAGGUUGGCUAAUCCUGGUCGGACAUCAGGAGGUUAGUGCAAUGGCAUAAGCCAGCUUGACUGCGAGCGUGACGGCGCGAGCAGGUGCGAAAGCAGGUCAUAGUGAUCCGGUGGUUCUGAAUGGAAGGGCCAUCGCUCAACGGAUAAAAGGUACUCCGGGGAUAACAGGCUGAUACCGCCCAAGAGUUCAUAUCGACGGCGGUGUUUGGCACCUCGAUGUCGGCUCAUCACAUCCUGGGGCUGAAGUAGGUCCCAAGGGUAUGGCUGUUCGCCAUUUAAAGUGGUACGCGAGCUGGGUUUAGAACGUCGUGAGACAGUUCGGUCCCUAUCUGCCGUGGGCGCUGGAGAAUUGAGGGGGGCUGCUCCUAGUACGAGAGGACCGGAGUGGACGCAUCACUGGUGUUCGGGUUGUCAUGCCAAUGGCACUGCCCGGUAGCUAAAUGCGGAAGAGAUAAGUGCUGAAAGCAUCUAAGCACGAAACUUGCCCCGAGAUGAGUUCUCCCUGACUCCUUGAGAGUCCUGAAGGAACGUUGAAGACGACGACGUUGAUAGGCCGGGUGUGUAAGCGCAGCGAUGCGUUGAGCUAACCGGUACUAAUGAACCGUGAGGCUUAACCUU
rnacentral:rRNA from 1 species